rnacentral:rRNA from 2 species
GGUGCCUAAUACAUGCAAGUCGAGCGAACUGAUUAGAAGCUUGCUUCUAUGACGUUAGCGGCGGACGGGUGAGUAACACGUGGGCAACCUGCCUGUAAGACUGGGAUAACUUCGGGAAACCGAAGCUAAUACCGGAUAGGAUCUUCUCCUUCAUGGGAGAUGAUUGAAAGAUGGUUUCGGCUAUCACUUACAGAUGGGCCCGCGGUGCAUUAGCUAGUUGGUGAGGUAACGGCUCACCAAGGCAACGAUGCAUAGCCGACCUGAGAGGGUGAUCGGCCACACUGGGACUGAGACACGGCCCAGACUCCUACGGGAGGCAGCAGUAGGGAAUCUUCCGCAAUGGACGAAAGUCUGACGGAGCAACGCCGCGUGAGUGAUGAAGGCUUUCGGGUCGUAAAACUCUGUUGUUAGGGAAGAACAAGUACGAGAGUAACUGCUCGUACCUUGACGGUACCUAACCAGAAAGCCACGGCUAACUACGUGCCAGCAGCCGCGGUAAUACGUAGGUGGCAAGCGUUAUCCGGAAUUAUUGGGCGUAAAGCGCGCGCAGGCGGUUUCUUAAGUCUGAUGUGAAAGCCCACGGCUCAACCGUGGAGGGUCAUUGGAAACUGGGGAACUUGAGUGCAGAAGAGAAAAGCGGAAUUCCACGUGUAGCGGUGAAAUGCGUAGAGAUGUGGAGGAACACCAGUGGCGAAGGCGGCUUUUUGGUCUGUAACUGACGCUGAGGCGCG